AAAAAACCAAGAGGCUCUGCUCAGCCCUUCAUUCCGCGCGGCGGCGGCGGCGGCAGCGGCUCCGGCGGGGAGGGGGCGGCGGAGGGAAGGGAGCCCCGGCUCGGCGGGGGUUGAUGGCGCCCGAGCUCGGCUCUGUCCCACCGCCCCAGCCCCGCUGCUGAGCUGGAGUUACAGGCAGGAUCGGCCGGAGGAGGAGCCCGCCGGCGGAGAGAUGUCUUCUAGAAACAUGGCUGGCCAACACAUCCUUCCUCAGACUUUGUAUCAGAGCAAUAUGCUGAAGGCCAUGAAGAUUAGAGAGAGGAUGCCUGAAGAUCUGAUCAAACCUCCCAGUGGAAUAAUUCACCACUUCAGGACUAUGCACAGAUACACCAUAGAAAUGUUCAGAAUGUGCCAGUUUUGUCCUCAAUUUCGGGAAACGCUUCAGAAGGCCCUGACUGACCAGGCCACCCAGACUUCACUGGAGCGCCAGAGGAAGCUGAAUUGGUGCAUGGAAGUUCGGAGACUUGUCCCUUUGAAGACUAACGGUGAUGGGAAUUGCCUCAUGCAUGCUGCAUCGCAGUACAUGUGGGGUAUUGAAGACAUUGACCUCGUCUUAAGAAAAACAUUGUUUAGCGCGCUCAAGGAGAUUGACACACAGAACUUCAAGCUCCGCUGGCAGCGGGAAGCUAUGAAAUCCCAGGAGUUUGUGGAAACGGGACUCCAUUAUGACACCCGGAACUGGGAAGAGGAGUGGGAAUACCUCAUUGAAAUGACCUCCCCAGAAACAUCUAGAGCUCAAAACAGGCUUCCAUACAAUGCACUGGAAGAAAUCCACAUCUUCAUCCUUGCUAACAUCCUCAGAAGGCCAAUCAUCGUCCUUGCAGAUAAAGUGGUGAGAAGUUUAGAGUCAGGCUCCAGUUUUGCUCCCCUGAAUGUUGGUGGUAUUUACUUGCCUCUCCUUUGGCCAGCUGAAGAGUGCUACAGAUACCCAAUUGUGCUUGGCUACGACAACAUGCAUUUUACACCACUAGUGACUCUGAAGGACAGUGGGCCAGAAAUCCGGGCUGUCCCUCUGGUCACCAGUGAGCGAGGGAGAUUUGAGGAUUUGAGUGUGCACUUUCUGACAGACACAGAAGAGAGGGAGAAAGAGCAGCUGCUAAAAGACUACUUGAUAGUGAUAGAAAUUCCAGUGCAAGGCUGGGAUCAUGGUACAACUCAUCUAAUUAAUGCUGCGAAGUUAGAUGAAGGCAACCUACCCAAAGAGAUAAACCUUGUGGAAGACUAUUUCCAGCUGGUACAGCAUGAGUACAAGAAGUGGCAGGAGAACACCGAGCCUGCUAGAAGAGAGACCUGCUCCAGGAACAGACCAGAACUGUCUUUUUCCCAGCUUUCCCUCUUACAGGUGAAAUGUGAAACACCAAAUUGCCCUUUCUACAUGUCUGUGAACACCCAGCCCUACUGCCACGAGUGCUUUGAGCAGAGGUCCCAAGGAAGCAAAGGAAGAAAGCAGACCUCCAAAACAGCACCCGAGAAACUGAAGGCAGCUGGGUCGGGCUCCUCCCGUGGGGAGGUUUGUGAACCUGGGGGGUGGGUGACCGAAGGGCCUGUAACAGGACCUCGCUCUGCGCCUCCGACUGCUCCGAGCCUUUUCCUGUACAGCGAGACCACAGCCAUGAAAUGCAGGACACCAGACUGCCCCUUCACGUUGAACGUGCAACACAAUGGGCUUUGUGAACGCUGCUACAACUCCAGACAGCUUGGUCCUUGCAACAACCUGGACGACCAGAGACAGUCAGACUAUGCCACGUGCAAGGUGUGCCACCAGAAGGCCAACAGGACCUUCAAUGGCAUAUGCAGCACUUGCUUCAAAAGGUCUACAGAGCACUCCUCAAAUGACAACCCUGCUUUCCCACCCAUGUGCCACCAAAGAUCAACGUCUGACCCAUCCCAGAUCUUGCAGAAUCUCCUCCAGCACUCCCGUCAUCAGCCUCCCAACAACUGUGGCGAGGAGCCCUUGCCGCCGCCGAUGCCUCCCAAGGAGAAGAGGGGAGGCAAUCUCUGCAGGAAACCUGGCUGCAGUUUUUUUGGGACAUCGCAAAAUGAGGGCUUUUGCACACUCUGCUUCUUUGAGUACAAGGAAAACCAUGACAGCAGUUUGCCACAUCACCAGAGGAGAUCUCAGAGGAAGUCCUCGGCAGCAGGUCAGACAGGGACCUCCGCUGCCACCUUCCGGAACACCAUGUCCUGCCAGCGGCGUGACUGCGACACCCUGGGUAGCACGAUGCUCGAGGGCUACUGCCAGAAGUGCUUCAUUAAAGCUCAGAACCAGAGAUUUCAGGAAGCCAGGAGGACAGAAGAACAGCUGGUGAGACAGACAGAAAGAACGGGACAGCACAGAGACUUGCAACGAGCAGCGUUGAGCAGCCAGAGGAGACAGUGUGCUGUGGCUUCAUGUAGAAACAACCUGGCCUGCAGGAGCGAUAACUUGUGCCCAGAGUGCCAGCGCCUUACUCCGCUUCUGCCACCACCAGGGAGUCCCAGGGACCCAGCUGCAGAGGAGCCUCCAAAGCAGCGUUGCCGAGCCCCUGCUUGUGAUCACUAUGGCAAUGCCAAGUGCAACGGCUACUGCAAUGAAUGCUACCAGUUCAAACAGAUCUAUGGGUAGUGGAGGGGAAGAGUUGGUAAAGAAUGAUAAAAUGAUGCUAACUACUUCCUUCACUGAAAUGGUGCUAUGUCCAAAACACUUAACAGUCCUGGGAGCUGGGAGAGGGCAAGGGGAGAUAUAAGCUGUCUGGUCAUGUUCCUGUUUGUUCCCAAGAACAGGAAUAGAUGUCUACUUCCUCUAAACACUGCAUACAAGGACUGCUGAGAAGGACAGGUUGCCUUCUGCACAGAGCUGUCGUUCAUGACUAAGCUCCUACAAUGCCAUAUUUAAUUCUCGGACUUCCCAGGAGGAAGUGUGAAGCAUUUGAAUCCAAAGAACUUCCCUGUUCUGCCUCUUUCCCAAUACCUCCUCUGCUCCCAGGCAAGGAGCCACAGCUACUGUCAGAGGUGCAAGAGCAUUUUGCAUCGGCAUACAUCAGUCAGAGGCAAGCCUUUCCUGAGAGGGAUCCCCUAGGACAGGCUGAUGCAACAUGCAGUUGAUGUCUGAAGAAACUUGCUUUGUGUUGCCUGCAUCCUUGCUGGUGUUCUUGAAGAUCUCAUCAAGGCGGGAGUUCCCACAAGCAUUCAGAGUGUUAACGAGGAGCGGGAGCGGUUCUGUGUUUGCGGAGCCCUCUGGAAAACUGCAGCCAGAAGCACGGCCAGCAGCGGUCUGCUCCUUUAACAUGCUUAACCUAACCAACAUUUAGGUCCUUUCCCAAAUCCCAAGAUAUCUGGAAAGACAGGGCUACAUCUGAUUUCCACUCUAGGCUCUGCUAUGAACUCAGUCCUCCUCAGACUGGUACUACAUGGGAUAUAGAGGAGGCAAAAUGAAACUCACCCAAAGGGAACAUGUGGAACCAGAUGUACAUCUCUGCACUAAACAACAGUGAAAUACUAAGCCUGCUUUAUUACCAUUUCCUUGUUUAUUUUACCAGUGAUCUAGAAAUGUAUUUGAAUUCUCAAGUAAUUCCCAGUUCAGGCCCAACAUGUUCCCAGUGCAGAAAAUCAGAGCAAAUGCAGUUUUAUCAGGGCAGGGCUGUUUGGAAUGAAUGUUAACAGGAAGAUACUUGGCACUGUUGCCAAAUACAAUAUAUCCUCUGCUUGCAUUAAUAAUGCAUUCAAGAAAAUAGGGGUUUUCUUCAUAGUCAAUGGAAUCUUAUCAAAGAACUACCUGACUCCUUUGUCAGUUUCUCUUUCUAAUGAAGUAAAAGACCUGAAAUGUUGUCAAAUGGCAAGGAAAAGUACUGGGUCACAAUUCUCUGCACAUUGCUUGUAGUCAGCUGCAGAUUGGUAUGUUUAGCUUCUUAGAAGUGUAACACAGUUGAGAGGUACCAAGGAAUUUGUACCCAGUUUACACAAUGCUAAUGUUAUAAAUUGGGGCAAAUAAAUGGUUUUCAAGGUUAUCAAAGGAGGUAAGAAUAAACCACUGUGGCAUGAACAGAGAGGUUCAUCUAGUUGGCUUUUAUCUGAUUCUGCAGCGAUUUAUUGCCAUAAUCAAGGGAUAAAUACCCUCUUUUCAGUGGAAAAAUAUUCAUAAAAAAGAUAAAAUCAUUAUCUCAGUGAGACCCGGGAAGUACCGGUAAAAAGAGCAAGAAUUACUAGCAUGGAAAAAAAUCUCAGCAAUGCAAAACAGAGGGGCAAGAAUCACCUUUUCUCCUAGCUUGCUUAUACAUCCAUGAAUCACAUCAUUUCCUUUUGGCCCUGUAAUGAACUGUGAACUCAUGUUGAGAUAUUUGCCCACUGUGCCCUUUACUCUUUCUGUUGUUCUCAGGACAUAAUGUCCCACCUUGUAUUUGCUUGUAUUAAAGUGCAUUUGUUUCAGUGGGUCUAAUUUGCUAAUUCAUCUAUUUUACAGCAUCUGACUCGUCUGCCUCCUCCAUUUUUAUUGUUUUCUAAGUCUUCCCAUCAUCUUUGGUUUAUCAGCAGUGACUUAAUAUUUUCUUC